rnacentral:rRNA from 1 species
UACGAAGGUGGCAAGCGUUGUUCGGAUUUACUGGGCGUACAGGGAGCGUAGGCGGUUGGAUAAGCCCUCCGUGAAAUCUCCAGGCUUAACCUGGAAAGUGCAGAGGGGACUGUUCAGCUAGAGGAUGGGAGAGGAGCGCGGAAUUCCCGGUGUAGCGGUGAAAUGCGUAGAGAUCGGCAGGAACACCCAGGGGGAAACCAGCCGACUGGGCAUCGACUGACGCUGAGGUGCGAGAGCGUGGGGAGCGAACCGG